ensembl:lncRNA
CUUGCUCCGAUAGGGUGGCCGUGGCACUAGCCUUCUUAACACGACAGCAGUCAGUGGCAAACAGAGACACAGUGAGGACAGCAGUUACAAGUGGGCAUGGGAUUUUAUUCUCAGUGCAUGGCAGUACUGGUUUCUGCUCAUCAGCAAAAAAGCUUUAUUGGUUCCAAGAAAUUAUUCCUUUUGAAAUUCCUCUUUUCUUCCCGCCUCAGUGGAACAACACAUUUGAAUUUCAGAUUUGCCAGUUCAUAGCAUUUUCCCUAAGAACCGUAUAAAUACAUGCAAAACAUUGUACAUAGAGUUUAAAUAAUAUCAAAAUGCAAAUACAGAUCAGGCACGCUGUUAAGCUGAACUGCAAAUGAUGGCCGCACACACCAGGGGAAACACUGCUUCGAUACCACCAUUUGUUUGUCAUGCAGAUCACAAUAGUCAAUCUUUUGUUUGGUUUUCUUUUUUGUACAAAAAAUACCAGUGCUUGUUAUACUAGUGAUUGCAGAAGAAGAAACUCAAAAUCCUAUGUGCGUGCUGAUUUGAAAAGAACAACGUGGAUAGAUUUGUUGGCACAUAUAUAUAUAUAUGGCAUAUUCACAUAUGGCAUAUAUACAUAUGGAGAAAAACGUGAACGAAAGGCCGAUUCAUUUAAGGGAGCUAAUCUCCCUCCAUCUUUCCUAAUCAAGAGGAAAGGGAGCCAAGUGUGGUAGUGCAUGCCUGGGAGGCUGAGGGAGAAGAUUGCAAGUUUGAGCCCAGCUUGGGCAGCUAAGCAAGACCUUGUCUGAAAAACAAAAAAAAAAUUUUUUUUUAAAGGGCUGGGCAUGUAGCUCAGUGUGAAGGCCUUGGGUUCAAUCCCCAGUACCAGGGGAAAAUUAUAAAAUAGAAAGAAAAGCAGAAGGGCACAGCAGGUCUAACUGCAGAGUUAGUAAGGCAAAAGUCCUGGCACUGAACUAAAGAAGAGGAGGCUGGUUAACUCUGAGGAAGAGGCGGAAUGGCUUAACAGCAGGCAUUGUCAGUGCCCACCUCCACUAGUGCAGUGGGGUGGUCCCUAGGUCUGAAAGGUGAGCAUGUGUGCAGACGGGUGGUGCCACGGGUGGCUUCAAUCAUAAGGCAAGGGAGGUAGGAAAGAAAGGAGAGCUACACUGAGAGGUCUUCCAGCAUGCAUUCGUGCUUUGCCACAGCCCUCUAGGUUUUCGCGCAGUGAGGUAAUCGCUCGGAUUUAUCUGCCUGCAAACUCUCCCCCUCUAGCUCCAAAGGGAAGAAAAACCCCAAACCCUAAAGAAUCCACAAAUGGACGGAUUUCUAGAUGGCUUCUUCAAUAUUUUCAGGGAUGGGAGAGUCAUUUCAGAGGAUAGAGGAUGCCUAUGGGAAAGAGUCGGCCCUGAGGCUGUCACCCAGGACUAGAACCAGCCAUGGUUUUCUCUACUUGGUGUUCUGUCUCCCAUCUAAUGUACUGAACAAGACCUUUCUAGGGGAGGAAGGAAUCACAACUCAGAUCCUUGCACAAAAACUCAUUAAUGGAAAACUCCAGGGGGAUCAAGGAGUGAGAGAACCAUAAAAAACGCAAACUACAAAUGGAGAGCAUCCUUGCAGACCAGGAGAUUGUCUUUGGUACCACUCUGCUAGCUCAUUUCUCGAGAGACACAAAUCCAAUAGAAGGCCCCCAAUCCUAACCACUAGCUACAAAACAGCCUGGCGGUUCAUCUCUACAGGGCGGAGACGGGGGCACACAUUCACUUCUGACAGCUGUGUCUCUUUUUGUUGGAUGUUCUCCCUCACUAUCCACAGUUUACUAUUCACUUUCCUAGCUAUCAAGACAGGAAUCUAGGCUGAUGUUUUCUCCUUCUUCCCAUCAGACCCUUUUAAAAUCCAAAGCACCAUUUUGGGGAAAAGCAUUAUUAACUUAUGCCAUAUUUACUCACUGCCGGUUGGAUCACUGAAACUGAAUAGAAAAAACUUAUAUAUAAAAACAUAUCCACAUAAACACUUAAACUUAAUUCCAUAUCAACACAAUUUAUAUUAAAAAGUCUAGAACCCAACAAAUUUUUCCCCUAAGUAUAAAGAUGGCUGUUUGGAGAAAGGAAGUACAGUGUAUUGGUUUUUAAACCAAUUACAAAUAUACUAAGUCACCUGUCAUGUCAAUCAGCUGGUUAUGUGCUCCCUUCCACAGGGUUACAUGACGGCACUUACUUUAUUUUAAAUCGUUUAAACAAAAUACAUAUGGCUGACUCAAAAAUAUCAGUUUCUGAUCUAAAGAAAACUAUAUUUUUUGCAUAAUAUUUCUAUAUUUUCUCUCUUACUAUGGAAACUAGGAGACACACACACACACACACACACACACCAUUGACUUUAAAAAAGUAGACACAAGACCUCAGGAGUAACCUGUCAGGCACCAUGAGAGUCUUUUUGGGGCAGGAAUGGUAAAAUGACCUCCAAAGCUUGGUAUUGGCUUGCUUCUUUAGAUGAUCUGAGGUAAUAAAAGACUUGACAGAAUUAAAUCUUCCAAUGUACUUACUAAAUAUGUGUGUGAACACUCAACACCUUGGGUGAGCUGGUUUCUUUCCCCAUGGGUAUUUAAGACAGAGAAAAGAUUGCCGAAACAUGUUAACUCUCAAAAAACCAAACUCAAAGUUGUUUCCCUGUAAUGAUGGAUUACUAGUAAUGAUGAUGUGUAGGGGCUAUUUUUUUUUUAUUCUUCUUACCUAGGACAACUCAGAUGCAAGGGCCAAGGGAGGGUGGAUCUAGAAGAAGCGGCUGGAUGGACAGGUUCAGGCCACUUUCCCUUCCCAGAUGGAAAUGCGACAGUCCCUAAGAGCCUUAGUGCCUCCUCCUUACUCCCAACACUCUGGAAGGGCGGGGGGGGGCUUCACUGAUCUAAGGGGAGGUGGGAAUCGGGGACAUCAGUCAGCUCCACCUUCACACCACAGCGAAAGUCAGUAUCAGCAGGGAUAAAAUGGAGCUCCUGCAAAUGUGGCUCCACCUUGUCUGGUAAAAGUCUCAGAUAAGCCCUCAAGUCCUGAGUGGCAGGUGGACAAGGGGCAAGAAGGGCAAGAUGGCACAGGGCUUUCCUGGAGCACACUGCAGAGAGCACUCAAAGGGAAUGUGGGAGAGAGUGAGAGAGAGGUGGAGGAGGAAGAGGAAGCGGGGCUCUCCGGGAUGGGUGUUUUGCUCCUUAAGUCGGCACAAUGCCAUGGGAGCCUCCCCUUUGGAGGUCUAUUUACAAAAUCAGAAUGUUUGCAAAAGGCCGGAACAUUCUGAGUCUGAACAAACCACAGACCUCACAAAGCGCAGAAUUAGGAAACUGAAGAGAAUGUCAAAGCUGAUGCCCAGGCACCCAAGCUCAAGGUUUCUGGUGCCUGCAGGGAGGUUUCCUUACACCCUGCCAGCGUGACUCUUCGGCUUUUCAAUACUCCCUCAACAAUCAGGUCUUGCCCUGGAAGAGCCCUGGAGAUGGCUUUGAAAGCAGCAGUUACCCCAAGGAGGACCCCGGUGAGGACAGGCCACAGCAGAGUACCUGAGUCUGGAUACGGUUCAGGCCCCGGAACCAGAGGAUCUGGCCUCGGCGAAGCUCCAUCUCAGCGUGGUCGAUCUCAUCCAGCCCCUCUGCAUCCUUGGUGAUCUCCUCUUUGGUAGUGCCAUGCCCAGCCUCCUUCAGGAACUUCAGAGACUGAGUAGGUAUCGCAGAAAUGACCUGAGGACAAGAGCGGCAGAGCUGUCAGGGGACUUACCCAGGGCAGCC